GACGAACGCUGGCGGCGUGCUUAACACAUGCAAGUCGAACGGAAAGGCCCCCUUGUGGGGUACUCGAGUGGCGAACGGGUGAGUAACACGUGAGUAACCCACCCUUGACUUUGGGAUAACUUCAGGAAACUGGGGCUAAUACCGGAUAGGAGCUCCUGCUGCAUGGUGGGGGUUGGAAAGUUUCGGCGGUUGGGGAUGGACUCGCGGCUUAUCAGCUUGUUGGUGGGGUAGUGGCUCACCAAGGCUUUGACGGGUAGCCGGCCUGAGAGGGUGACCGGCCACAUUGGGACUGAGAUACGGCCCAGACUCCUACGGGAGGCAGCAGUGGGGAAUAUUGCACAAUGGGCGGAAGCCUGAUGCAGCAACGCCGCGUGCGGGAUGACGGCCUUCGGGUUGUAAACCGCUUUCGCCUGUGACGAAGCGUGAGUGACGGUAAUGGGUAAAGAAGCACCGGCUAACUACGUG
rnacentral:rRNA from 1 species